UAGGGCUAAACCAGGGGUUUCAGACUUCACUCCUGUGUCCACAGCACUGCAGAGUUUAGCAUUAACUUCAUUUAAUGUUCACUUCUUAUAUAACUGUCUUGUUCUAAAAUGGGAAAAAGCUGUUGGCAUCCAGGAGCUGAGUUUGACCCUCUAUGGCAGUGUUUCUCAGUCAUGUUCCUGACCACUCCAUACAGUUUUAAAUAUUCCAUGAUUCAACGUACCAAGUUUUCAAUAUACCUAACCUAGAGUUACCAGAAGUAGCAUUAAGAGACACUGUUCUAGCAAUGAACAUAUUGGCAAUCCAGGAUUCCUAAAGUCAGUCUUAUGAACGCCAUACUUAGCAAUUUUUUGUGUUUCCCCCACAUGACCAGCCUUUACUUAGGUAAUGAGCUGAAUCUGGUGGAAAAAUAUGCAACACAUAGGGUUUAAUGACUGGGUUGGGAUCUCUUUUUGCUCUAAAGUUCAGAUGUUCAAAUCAGUCUUCACUGUUCUUUGAUGUUCUAGGUUCUAUAUCCAAAACCUAUUGCUAUAAAAUAAAUAAGAGGUUCCAGGUUCCAUUCUUGGGGUGCUUAUGCCAUACAAAUUUUUUUUCUCUCCAUUUUAAAACACUUUACUCAGCCUCACCCACGAGGAACUUAAUUUGUUAAUUAGUUCAAUCAGGUUUUAGAUAAGUUAAAACAAAAAAUGUGAUGUGGGAUCACCAGCACUGGUAUAGGAACCCAUGAAUUAAACAAAGUCAUUACUAAUUUGCUUACCCCCUUACAGAUCGGGCUACGUGAUUCAUCUCCUGUUGUGCUGACACACACAUGCAGUUCAUGUGUUGCAGGCACUGCCCUAUGCAACCACAUAGUGGCUUUGCUUUUUCAAACUGCACAUUUCUCUCAGCUCAGUGUGCCAGUAGUUCCUCCUGUGCACAGCUGUACUGAAACUGAACAGCGCUGGCACAAACCUCGGACAAUUGGUGUAAAGCCAGGACCAAUCAACAACAUGAUCACCUGUGCCAAAUCAAAAGUCUCAAGGAGUAGUUAGGAGUGGACUCUACAGGGGCAUGGUGGGCCCUUUACCGGAUCCAUGCAUGUUUAGAGUGGCAGAGGCUUAUGAAAAAUUCAGCCUUGAAGACAAGCCGCUGGUGACCACCAUGGGCAUGGAACUCAACAAGCCAGCUGUGCAGUGUGCAUUUGGUAUGGUGCAGGAGGGCAAUGUUCUGUCAUAUCAGCAGCCUGUUUUACCAUCACGACACAUCACGCUGCAUCCUGAUGUUCCAUCAACCCCACUUCUGCCUCUGAAAGACCACCACCUUGAUGCACCCACCUGUGCUUUUGUGUGCACUGAACAGGAGCUUUUUGAUAUGGCUCACAAAAUUGAGGUGUCAACUCGGGAGCAGAGUUCUUGGGCUGAGUGGCAUCUGCUCCGCAAGCCUAGAGUAACAAAUAAUUAAUAAAUAAUAAUAAUAAAUAAUAAAAAAUAAUAAAUAUUGGAAACAGAAUUUGUUUAGACUUAAUGUUUUAAUGUACAAAAAGUAUACAAAAUAUUUACAGAACCUGGUGUGUCUAAAAUAUGCUCUUUUACAGUUUAAUAAAUACAUAAUUUGUGGACAGAAAUGAGAAAAUGUAAAUAUUGAAUAUUCUGUAUACUUAUUAAAUUAUAGGGCGGCACGGUGGGUAGCACUGUCGCCUCACAGCAAGAAGGUCCUGGGUUCGAUCCCCAGGCGGGGCGGUCCGGGUCCUUUCUGUGUGGAGUUUGCAUGUUCUCCCCGUGUCUGUGUGGGUUUCCUCCGGGUGCUCCGGUUUCCUCCCACAGUCCAAAGACGUGCAAGUGAGGUGAACUGGAGAUAUAAAAUUGUCUGUAACUUUUCAAUAUAACUUGUGAACUUGUGAAGUGUAAAACAUGAUAUUAAAAUCCUAAUAAACAAACAAAAUUAAAUCAUAUGUUUACUUAAUAAAAGAUUGUUUGUGUUUUUGUGAAA